rnacentral:misc_RNA from 1 species
UAGGGAUUGUAGUGGAAAGCCAACAGCGAAGGAACGAAGCGAGGACUUGUAGCGGAAAGCCCGACCCUUG